rnacentral:rRNA from 1 species
GCCUACGGCCAUACCACCCUGAACGCGCCCGAUCUCGUCUGAUCUCAGAAGCUAAGCAGGGUCGGGCCUGGUUAGUACUUGGAUGGGAGAAGAUGACAUUUGAAAGUCUAUAUGAAAUGGUUAGCU